UGAGGGAAAGGCGAAAAGAACCCCGGCGAGGGGAGUGAAAAAGAACCUGAAACCGUGUACGUACAAGCAGUGGGAGCACAGGUUUACCUGUGUGACUGCGUACCUUUUGUAUAAUGGGUCAGCGACUUAUAUUCUGUAGCAAGGUUAACCGUAUAGGGGAGCCGUAGGGAAACCGAGUCUUAACCGGGCGUUAAGUUGCAGGGUAUAGACCCGAAACCCGGUGAUCUAGCCAUGGGCAGGUUGAAGGUUGGGUAACACUAACUGGAGGACCGAACCGACUAAUGUUGAAAAAUUAGCGGAUGACCUGUGGCUGGGGGUGAAAGGCCAAUCAAACCGGGAGAUAGCUGGUUCUCCCCGAAAGCUAUUUAGGUAGCGCCUCGUGAAUUCAUCUCCGGGGGUAGAGCACUGUUUCGGCUAGGGGGCCAUCCCGGCUUACCAACCCGAUGCAAACUGCGAAUACCGGAGAAUGUUAUCACGGGAGACACACGGCGGGUGCUAACGUCCGUCGUGAAGAGGGAAACAACCCAGACCGCCAGCUAAGGUCCCAAAGUCAUGGUUAAGUGGGAAACGAUGUGGGAAGGCCCAGACAGCCAGGAUGUUGGCUUAGAAGCAGCCAUCAUUUAAAGAAAGCGUAAUAGCUCACUGGUCGAGUCGGCCUGCGCGGAAGAUGUAACGGGGCUAAACCAUGCACCGAAGCUGCGGCAGCGAACGUAUCACCCAAGACAACUUUACGGAGUUGACGAUUGACGGAGCGAAGCGACGUCAAAGCGUUCAUUAAAGUCGAGUUGGCUUAGGGAUACGUUCGUUGGGUAGGGGAGCGUUCUGUAAGCCUGUGAAGGUGUGUCGUGAGGCAUGCUGGAGGUAUCAGAAGUGCGAAUGCUGACAUAAGUAACGAUAAAGCGGGUGAAAAGCCCGCUCGCCGGAAGACCAAGGGUUCCUGUCCAACGUUAAUCGGGGCAGGGUGAGUCGACCCCUAAGGCGAGGCCGAAAGGCGUAGUCGAUGGGAAACGGGUUAAUAUUCCCGUACUUGGUGUUACUGCGAAGGGGGGACGGAGAAGGCUAUGUUGGCCGGGCGACGGUUGUCCCGGUUUAAGCGUGUAGGUGUGUGUUCCAGGUAAAUCCGGUUCACUUUAACACUGAGGCGUGACGACGAGGCACUACGGUGCUGAAGCAACAAAUGCCCUGCUUCCAGGAAAAGCCUCUAAGCAUCAGGUAACACGAAAUCGUACCCCAAACCGACACAGGUGGUCAGGUAGAGAAUACCAAGGCGCUUGAGAGAACUCGGGUGAAGGAACUAGGCAAAAUGGUGCCGUAACUUCGGGAGAAGGCACGCUGACACGUAGGUGAAGUGAUUUACUCAUGGAGCUGAAGUCAGUCGAAGAUACCAGCUGGCUGCAACUGUUUAUUAAAAACACAGCACUGUGCAAACACGAAAGUGGACGUAUACGGUGUGACGCCUGCCCGGUGCCGGAA
rnacentral:rRNA from 1 species